rnacentral:lncRNA from 1 species
GUGAUGAAAUAAGCCUUUUGCCUUCUCCUUGACAUGCUAACCACACUCUCACCUUCAGGUCUGUACCCUAGUGAUGUGCCCCGAGUCCAUCAUUCCCCCGAGUGGAUAUUUUCUGAAUAUUCAUCAGUGCUUCCACACCUGGGAACAGACACAGUACUGCACAGAUCAUGCCAGUACCAAAUCGAAGACCCAUAUCUCUGGGUGCUGACUGCUGAGGUAGCCUGUGCACCCCUUCGGUGGGAGGGUUUCUCUGUCGGCAGAUACAGGGACUGUCUGUGAUAAGAAGCAACCAGUAAGAGGAGAGUGAGAAACUGGAGAGAAGCUAAAGCACUCCAGGAAAUUCCACCAAAUCCCUGGAUAGACGUCGUCUCACAUGUUGAGAAGUGUGAUGCUGCAGCCCUGGAGGAGUUAUCUUGGUUACGAGAAUAUUGCAGUAUUGCUGUGUUUGGUGAAAGUACCUGUUAGAAGAGCAAGAUGGAGCGACAGUGCUUCCAUAAAAUGUAUUGGGAUGGAAAAAUACUAAAAUAUGGUUCAUAGAAAGAACUGAAGGUGAGAUUUUUCAAAAGUAGUUUUAAAGUUGACAUUCAGUUCUCCCCCAUUUCCACUGGGAAAAGGGUAUCCAAAUUGGACGCCUUUGAAAAUGCCUCCUUUUUUUUUUUUU